rnacentral:rRNA from 1 species
GAUGAACGCUGGCGGCGUGCCUAAUACAUGCAAGUAGAACGCUGAAGGAGGAACUUGCUCUUCUGGAUGAGUUGCGAACGGGUGAGUAACGCGUAGGUAACCUGCCUGGUAGCUGGGGAUAACUAUUGGAAACGAUAGCUAAUACCGCAUGACAACAGUUCUUGCAUGAUAACUGUUUAAAAGUGGCACCUGCUCCACUACCAGAUGGCCCUGCGUUGUAUUAGCUAGUUGGUGGGGUAACGGCUCACCAAGGCGACGAUACAUAGCCGGCCUGAGAGGGGGAACGGCCACACUGGGAACGGAAAACGGGCCAAGACCCUUACGGAGGGAGCAGGAGGGGAACUUUGGAAAUGGACGGAAGGCUGAACGAGCAAAGCCGCGGGAGGGGAGAAGGUUCUCGGAGUGGAAAAGUCUGUUGUAAGAGAAGAACGAGUGUGAGAGUGGAAAGUUCACGCUGUGACGGUACCUAAACAGAAAGCGACGGCUAACUACGUG